UGAGGUGAAGUUUCAGGAAGUUCAUGACGUU
rnacentral:piRNA from 2 species